rnacentral:rRNA from 1 species
AGUCAUAUGCUUGUCUCAAAGAUUAAGCCAUGCAUGUCUAAGUAUAAGCAAUCUAUACAGUGAAACUGCGAAUGGCUCAUUAAAUCAGUUAUCGUUUAUUUGAUAGUACCUUACUACUUGGAUAACCGUGGUAAUUCUAGAGCUAAUACAUGCUAAAAACCCCGACUUCGGAAGGGGUGUAUUUAUUAGAUAAAAACCAAUGCUCUUCGGGGCUCCUUGGUGAUUCAUAAUAACUUAACGAAUCGCAUGGCCUUGUGCCGGCGAUGGUUCAUUCAAAUUUCUGCCCUAUCAACUUUCGAUGGUAGGAUAGUGCCUACAUGGUUCAACGGGUAACGGGAUU